rnacentral:rRNA from 1 species
GAGGAUUCGAGCGUUAUCCGGAAUCAUUGGGUUUAAAGGGUUCGUAGGCGGGGCGAUAAGUCAGUGGUGAAAGUUUGUGGCUCAACCAUAAAAUUGCCAUUGAUACUGUUGUUCUUGAGUUAUUGUGAAGUGGUUAGAAUGUGUAGUGUAGCGGGUGAAAUGCAUAGAUAUUACACAGAACACCAAUUGCGAAGGCAUAUCACUAGCAAUAUACUGACGCUGAUGAACGAAAGCGUAGGUAGCGAACAGGAUUAGAUACCCUGGUAGUCUACGCUGUAAACGAUGGUUACUAGCUGUUCGGAUCAAUUGCGAUCUGAGUGGUUAAGCGAAAGUGAUAAGUAACCCACCUGGGGAGUACGUUUGCAAGAAUGAAACUCAAAGGAAUUGACGGGGGCCCGCACAAGCGGUGGAGCAUGUGGUUUAAUUCGAUGAUACGCGAGGAACCUUACCAAGGCUUAAAUGCAUUUUGACAGGUCUAGAAAUAGAUUUUUCUUCGGACAAAUUGCAAGGUGCUGCAUGGUUGUCGUCAGCUCGUGCCGUGAGGUGUCAGGUUAAGUCCUAUAACGAGCGCAACCCCUGUGGUUAGUUACCAGCACAUAAUGGUGGGGACUCUAGCCAGACUGCCGGUGCAAACCGAGAGGAAGGUGGGGACGACGUCAAAUCAUCACGGCCCUUACGCCUUGGGCUACACACGUGCUACAAUGGUAUACACAAUGAGCAGCCAUCUGGCAACAGAGCGCAAAUCUAUAAAGUAUAUCACAGUUCGGAUCGGAGUCUGCAACUCGACUCUGUGAAGCUGGAAUCGCUAGUAAUCGCACAUCAGCCAUGGUGCGGUGAAUACGUUCCCGGGCC